rnacentral:rRNA from 1 species
AUAGUUUGAUGCUGGCUCAGAAUGAACGCUGGCGGCGUGCUUAACACAUGCAAGUCGCACGAGAACGUUUCAGCUUGCUGAAACUAGUAAAGUGGCGCACGGGUGAGUAACGCGUGGGUAAUCUACCUCCGAAUUGGGGAUAACAUUGCGAAAGCGAUGCUGAUACCGGAUAAUAUCUUAAAAGCUUCGGUUUUAAAGAUCAAAGGUGGCCUCUACAUGUAAGCUUCUGUUUGGAGAUGAGCCCGCGUACCAUUAGCUUGUUGGCAGGGUAAUGGCCUACCAAGGCUACGAUGGUUAGCUGGUCUGAGAGGAUGAUCAGCCACACUGGAACUGACACACGGUCCAGACUCCUACGGGAGGCAGCAGUGAGGAAUUUUGCGCAAUGGGGGAAACCCUGACGCAGCAACGCCGCGUGAGUGAUGAAGGCUUUCGGGUCGUAAAGCUCUGUCAAGUGAGAAGAACCCACAUGGUGAUAAUACCACUAUGUGCUGACGGUAUCACUAAAGGAAGCACCGGCUAACUCCGUGCCAGCAGCCGCGGUAAUACGGGGGGUGCAAGCGUUAUUCGGAAUUACUGGGCGUAAAGGGCGCGCAGGCGGUCUCUUAAGUCAGAUGUGAAGGCCCGGGGCUCAACCCCGGAAGUGCAUUUGAAACUAAGGGACUUGAGUAUAGGAGAGGGAAGUGGAAUUCCUGGUGUAGCGGUGAAAUGCGUAGAUAUCAGGAGGAACACCGGUGGCGAAGGCGACUUCCUGGACCAAU